rnacentral:rRNA from 1 species
UACGGAGGGUGCAAGCGUUAUCCGGAUUCACUGGGCUUAAAGGGUGCGUAGGCGGGCAGGUAAGUCAGUGGUGAAAUCUCCGAGCUUAACUCGGAAACUGCCUUUGAUACUAUCUGUCUUGAAUAUGGUGGAGGUAAGCGGAAUAUGUCAUGUAGCGGUGAAAUGCUUAGAUAUGACAUAGAACACCUAUUGCGAAGGCAGCUUACUACGCCUAUAUUGACGCUGAGGCACGAAAGCGUGGGGAUCAAACAGG